AGGCCCCGUAUUUGUGCGGCUGACUACCGGCGCCGUGUCCCGUCAUUCUUGUGGCUAAUGUUACAAUCUCCUUUUGAAGUGCUUGCGUGUUGGUACCCGACCUACGGGAAGUGGUGCAUUCUACAUGCUUGAAUUGCGGUGAACGCCUUCGGGCGUGCUACCGUGGCCAAACUGCGGUUGCGGCGUUGCCUUGUGGUCCUGGCAUGAUUUUCUGCCUAGCUCUAUGAACGCAACCUCGCUCUCGCAGCUGGUUUUGGAUGUCGCUCACGAUAAAGGCUCAUGGCCCAUGAGGCUGCCUUGACCUGACCCUAAAUAUGCUCUCCUCGUUUGAGAACAACCGGAACAGGUGUUGCCUCUACCUAUCCACAGCUAGUGGUAGGAUUAUGCAACAUUCUGUGUCGAUCCUUGAACUAGUAGGAUGGGCUUGGCCCGCUCAAACAUGACAACCAGCCUGGCUGCCUUUGCCUUUUUCAUUACAUGGAUUGGUAAACGACAGCCGACGCUGGACGUCAAAGAGGACGUGCUACCUGGUUGAUCCUGCCAGUAGUCAU
rnacentral:misc_RNA from 1 species